rnacentral:lncRNA from 1 species
GGGCGGGGGGCAGCGUGCGGAACAGGUUCUGGCGCAGCAUGAAGGAGAUGUCCUCAGACACCGCUUCAGUGAACUUGCCCGUCCCGCUGUUCGCGUAGUCCACCAGCUCCAGCAGGGUCUGCCGCUUCAUCUCUUUUUCCCGCACAUGCUUGCCCGGCUCCGUGAAGUCAAACGUGAAGCUGCACAUGUGCAGCUUUUGCACAAAUAAAUGCUGCUUCUCCGACGGGCUGACAUCGCGGAAGG